AACGAACGCUGGCGGCAGGCUUAACACAUGCCAGUCGAGCGCCCCGCAAGGGGAGCGGCAGACGGGUGAGUAACGCGUGGGAACGUACCUUUUGGUUCGGAACAACUCCGGGAAACUGGAGCUAAUACCGGAUAAGCCCUAACGGGGAAAGAUUUAUCGCCGAAAGAUCGGCCCGCGUCUGAUUAGCUAGUUGGUGAGGUAACGGCUCACCAAGGCGACGAUCAGUAGCUGGUCUGAGAGGAUGAUCAGCCACACUGGGACUGAGACACGGCCCAGACUCCUACGGGAGGCAGCAGUGGGGAAUAUUGGACAAUGGGCGCAAGCCUGAUCCGGCCAUGCCGCGUGAGUGAUGAAGGCCUUAGGGUUGUAAAGCUCUUUUGUCCGGGAAGAUAAUGACUGUACCGGAAGAAUAAGCCCCGGCUAACUUCGUG
rnacentral:rRNA from 1 species